CACAUGAUCGCAUGUGAUUGUGGGAAAGAUUCUAUCGGCGUGGGAUGGGGUCGCGUCCUAUCAGCUUGUUGGUGAGGUAACGGCUCACCAAGGCUUCGACGGGUAGCCGGCCUGAGAGGGCGACCGGCCACAUUGGGACUGAGAUACGGCCCAGACUCCUACGGGAGGCAGCAGUGGGGAAUAUUGCACAAUGGGCGCAAGCCUGAUGCAGCGACGCCGCGUGAGGGAUGGAGGCCUUCGGGUUGUAAACCUCUUUUGUUUGGGAGCAAGCCUUCGGGUGAGUGUACCUUUCGAAUAAGCGCCGGCUAACUACGUGCCAGCAGCCGCGGUAAUACGUAGGGCGCAAGCGUUAUCCGGAUUUAUUGGGCGUAAAGGGCUCGUAGGCGGUCGUCGCGUCCGGUGUGAAAGUCCAUCGCUUAA
rnacentral:rRNA from 1 species